UGAAAAGCUGGAAGAGAAGUGUUGAAGACAUAACUAAAUGAAUAGAAGUGUGAUCUCUCUACUAGCUUAAGCUUUUAGAUGAAAGGGUCACACACUUUAACAUGGUAUCAGAGCACGUUGAAGUUCCUGAGUUCGAGUCUCACUGGCACCCAUGAUCAAAAGGAAUUUUCACGUGCUUGGCCCAUGAAAAAAUUUAAGGCCCACAAAUGAGGGAGCGUGUUGAAGACAUAAUUAAGUAAAUAAAAAUGUGUUCUCUAUAACAGCUUAAGCAUUUAAAUGAGAUGGUCACACUUUAAACAAUAAAAUCAUAUUUUAAAUACAUAAACGUAAUAAAGGAUAAGUAUGAAGCAGCCGUUAGAGAUGGCCUCUCUAACAGUUUUUUCCUUCUUUUAUUGACGAGGUAAUUGGUCAAUCAGUAAAGAUAUAUGUAUUUUGAUGCCCCGCCUAAGAGAGAGUCGGUUCAAUAAUAACA
rnacentral:lncRNA from 1 species